rnacentral:rRNA from 1 species
AUUGAACGCUGGCGGCAGGCCUAACACAUGCAAGUCGAGCGAGCGGCGGACGGGUGAGUAAUGUCUGGGAUAAUGCCUGAUGGAGGGGGCUAACUACUGGAAACGGUAGCUAAUACCGCAUACCAUCAGAUGUGCCCAGAUGGGAUUAGCUAGUAGGUGGGGUAAUGGCUCACCUAGGCGACGAUCCCUAGCUGGUCUAAGAGGAUGACCAGCCACACUGGAACUGGGACAUGGUCCAGACUCUUGCGGGAGGCAGCAGUGGGGAAUAUUGCACAAUGGGCGCAAGCCUGAUUCAGGCAUGCCGCGGGAGUGAAGAAGGCCUUGGGGUUGUAAAGCACUGUCAGCGGGGGGGCGUUACCCGCAGAAGAAGCACCGGCUAACUCCGUGCCAGCCGCCGCGGUAAUUC